CAUUUCUUCUUACUACACGCAAAUUCUCUCCCUCUUUCUUCUUACUACACCCAAAUUCUCUCUCUUGUUUCUUCUUACUUCCCCAAAAUUCUCUCUCUCAUUUCUUCUUCAAGUGAAUCUACUGUCACCAAUCUAAUUCUCUCCCACACACAGUCACUUCUUCGCUUCUCCAUUGGAGUGAACAAAGGUUGACUUUGGAGAAUGAUUCUAGUGAAGGACGACAACACUUGAAUGGAGAAAAUAGGAAGAGGAAGAGUAUAUUGAUGUAGGUUGCGGAGUGGGAAAAGCCAUACAUUGAUUUAUUAUCUAACUUUUGUCUAUGGAUUAAUAUUAAUGACUUAAAUUUGUGUUAAUUGAACUUUUUUUUUUUGUUAUCGGAUUGAUGAUUGGGUUUCAAUUAUACUAUAAUGCUAAAAUACAAUUUUUCAUUGCAAUUUAUCAUUUCUUGGAGAUUUAUUAUGUGUUUGCAUAUAAGAUGUACUUUGUAGCACAUUUACUAAAAAUAGUAAAACAAUUGCAAAGAGGAAGAAGAAGAGAGCAUAAAUGCCAAAGAAACCCUUAUGUUGUCUUUCUAGAUUGUUGCGAUGAAAUGUUUUAUGUCGUACUUUUUCAAUACAAAUAUCUCUUAAUCUAGACAUAAUAUUUUCUCUAGUUAAAUCUAAGUAUAAAUCUAGUUAGUCUUAGAGUGAUUUGGGUGUCAAACUCAGGGACAUAAAACUAAAUUGUGCAAAGCAGUGUUUUGAUUACAAAGUAAGCGAUGGAAGUGUGUACAUCUAACUAUUCUAUUUAAUCUAAGUGAUUGAUAGGUAAAAUGGAUGCGAUGAAAAUUGCAAUGCAAUAUUAAGCAGUGUGCGAUGAAAAAAUGGAUGGAACACAAAUAAAUGGAUAGGGUUGAAAAAGAUUCAUCAACAUUCCCCUAAGCAAUGUAUAAGCUAAGCGUUCAUGUCAAAAACUCAUAAAUAAUGAACUUCACCUCUCGGUUCUUGAUGCCACACUACCCUAUCUCUAAGAUGCAUGCGAUGAGUUUUUAUCGCGAAAGAUUAUCUUUAUCUCUAAAGUUACUUCUUUCCUUGUCCAACAACAACACAAGCUUCGAGAAUUUGUUCAGCAACAAAUUUAGCAAGUCCAUUACCAACAUAUUAUGAUGAGGAAUUUCACCUGACAUCAGACGUAGAAGCAACAUGAGCAAUUCCGCUUCACUUUGCAAUACAUUCAAGAAGUGCUUGCUCAACUAAUUACUGGCCCUGCUAUCCCGCCGCAUCUUCAACAACUGUUACACUUCCCUGAGGAAGAAGUAUUUCCUCCUCUGCCUGACGAUAACAACAAUAUGGAAGGAAACUAAAUUUGGGGGUGUUUUCUUUGUAGGUUUUGUCAAUUUUCAUUCAACGUUUUGUAUUCUCAAUCGCCUUAUAUAUUAAUCAAAUUAAAUGAAUUGACAAGUUGAUCAUUGGCUA